UAUAGUGGGUAGUCAUGUCCUAGGCCAGUAUCUUUCCUGACAAAGAUCAACUUUGAUCUUUACUGAGCCUAAUGUCUUUUUGCAUUUAAGAUAACAUACCUAUGGAAUGUCAGGAUAACUCAUAACUUCCCUUUCUCUGGACCCCUCAUGGCAUAACAAAUGGC